AGAGUUUGAUCCUGGCUCAGGAUGAACGCUAGCGGCAGGCCUAACACAUGCAAGUCGAACGGUAAGGACCACUUCGGUGGUUACACGAGUGGCGCACGGGUGAGUAACGCGUAUGCAACCUACCCUUAACAGGGGGAUAGCCCGAAGAAAUUCGGAUUAAUACCCCAUAAUACUAUAAAUAAGCAUUUAUUAAUAGUAAAAACUCCGGUGGUUAAGGAUGGGCAUGCGUACCAUUAGAUAGUUGGUAAGGUAACGGCUUACCAAGUCUACGAUGGUUAGGGGGCCUGAGAGGGUGGUCCCCCACACUGGUACUGAGACACGGACCAGACUCCUACGGGAGGCAGCAGUGAGGAAUAUUGCGCAAUGGGCGAAAGUCUGACGCAGCCAUGCCGCGUGCAGGAUGACGGCCCUACGGGUUGUAAACUGCUUUUAUACAGGAAGAAAACUUUCAACGUGUUGAGAGUUGACGGUACUGUAAGAAUAAGCAUCGGCUAACUCCGUGCCAGCAGCCGCGGUAAUACGGAGGAUGCAAGCGUUAUCCGGAUUUAUUGGGUUUAAAGGGUGCGUAGGCGGAAUAAUAAGUCAGUGGUGAAAUCCUGCAGCUUAACUGUAGAACUGCCAUUGAUACUGUUAUUCUUGAAUAUAGUUGAGGUAGGCGGAAUGUGUAAUGUAGCGGUGAAAUGCAUAGAUAUUACACAGAACACCGAUUGCGUAGGCAGCUUACUAAGCUAUUAUUGACGCUGAGGCACGAAAGCGUGGGGAUCGAACAGGAUUAGAUACCCUGGUAGUCCACGCUGUAAACGAUGAUCACUAGCUGUUGGCGAUACACCGAUCAGCGGCAAAGCGAAAGCAUUAAGUGAUCCACCUGGGGAGUACGGUCGCAAGAUUGAAACUCAAAGGAAUUGACGGGGGCCCGCACAAGCGGAGGAACAUGUGGUUUAAUUCGAUGAUACGCGAGGAACCUUACCUGGGCUUAAAUGCAGGACGACGAACUGGGAAACCAGUUUUCUCUUCGGAGCGGACUGCAAGGUGCUGCAUGGUUGUCGUCAGCUCGUGCCGUGAGGUGUCGGGUUAAGUCCCAUAACGAGCGCAACCCCUAUCGUUAGUUGCCAGCGGAUCAUGUCGGGGACUCUAACGAAACUGCCGGUGUAAACCGAGAGGAAGGUGGGGAUGACGUCAAAUCAGCACGGCCCUUAUGUCCAGGGCUACACACGUGUUACAAUGGUCGGUACAGAGGGUAGCUACUAUGUAAAUAGAUGCCAAUCUCGAAAACCGGUCUUAGUUCGGAUCGAAGUCUGCAACUCGACUUCGUGAAGCUGGAUUCGCUAGUAAUCGCGCAUCAGCCACGGCGCGGUGAAUACG
rnacentral:rRNA from 1 species